GCAAGCGUUGUUCGGAAUUACUGGGCGUAAAGGGCUCGUAGGCGGCCAACUAAGUCAGACGUGAAAUCCCUCGGCUUAACCGGGGAACUGCGUCUGAUACUGGAUGGCUUGAGUUCGGGAGAGGGAUGCGGAAUUCCAGGUGUAGCGGUGAAAUGCGUAGAUAUCUGGAGGAACACCGGUGGCGAAGGCGGCAGCCUGGACCGACACUGACGCUGAGGAGCGAAAGCCAGGGGAGCAAACGGG
rnacentral:rRNA from 1 species